rnacentral:rRNA from 1 species
UACGGAGGGUGCAAGCGUUAUCCGGAUUUACUGGGUUUAAAGGGUGUGUAGGCGGGCUUUUAAGUCAGUGGUGAAAUCUCCGGGCUCAACCCGGAAACUGCCAUUGAUACUAUUAGUCUUGAAUUCUGUUGAGGUAGGCGGAAUAAGUCAUGUAGCGGUGAAAUGCUUAGAUAUGACUUAGAACACCAAUUGCGAAGGCAGCUUGCUAAACAGAUAUUGACGCUGAGGCACGAAGGCGUGGGGAUCAAACAGG